AGAACGAACGUUGGCGGCGUGGAUUAGGCAUGCAAGUCGGGGGUGCCAGUAAUGGCAACCGGCGUAAGGGGCAGUAAGGCAUGGGUACCUACCUCGGGGGUCCGGGAUAGCCAUCAGAGAUGGUGGGUAAUACCGGAUGACCUCGCGAGAGCAAAGAUUUAUCGCCCUGAGAGGGCCCAUGUGAUAUUAGCUAGUUGGCGGGGUAAUGGCCCACAAGGCUUAGAUGUCUAGCGGGUGUGAGAGCACGACCCGCGCCGACUCGCCACCGAGACACGUGGCGAGACACCGUACGGGUGGCUGCAGUCGAGGUAUCGUUCGGACGUAAGUGGGGCCAACCCGU
rnacentral:rRNA from 1 species